GUACUUCCGGGGCAAACGCCAGGCCCACUUCGCCGGGGCCCGGGUGACGGGGCGGGGCCGUGUGCCCACGUGACCCUGCGCCCCGGGAGGAGCGGGGCGGGCUGUGAGAGCCGGCGCUGCGGGGGGGGUGCUCUUGGUGCGAGGCAGGCUUCGGGGAGGGGUGGGCGGCCCUCGGGAUGAGUCGCAUUGUCUGGGAAAGGCUCACGGCAGCAGGCUGCUGUAGUUCUCUGCAAGCGCGCACAUCGAUUAGUGCAAAGGGGCUGAGUUCCCAUUUUUAACUGGAUAAGGCUUCCCUUUGGCAUCCAUCUCAAGCCACCAAAGAGACCUGCUUACUCAAUGGAUAAAGGACAAUCAAGCCUCAGGAAAGAUAAGUUGUAAGAGAAUGAAGCCAGAAGUGUACUGAGUGAUAUGAAUGUUCUUCCUUAUCUAGAUAAAACAUUUUUCAGUUUUUGAACAAAAUCAUCUUAAAUGAAGAGACAAGAAAGAGCAUGAUUAAAUGAUGGAGAACGAAGGAGAGGCUGAUUAAUCUUGUAGCUGCAACAUUGUGACAGCUAAGUACAAGCAUCUUUCCAAUGAGAUAUAAGGAUACUUAACAGACCAAACAAUUUAAAAUUUUAGGGAACUUGAACACCAGCUACAGAAGAGGCAUCUCUAUUGUGGUUCACACAACCAAAGAUCAGCAACAAAUUAAGAAAUAUUAAAGAAACAGUAGGUUUCUAUCUGAUAGCUGGCCUGUUCUGUUUCUUCUCCAUCCCUCCCCAUCCCCCCAAAAAAUGAAAAAGAGAGAGAAGCAGCCCUGGGUUCAAUCCCCAGCACUGUAAAUAUAAGUGAGUAAAUAAAUAACUGUGUGUGAAGGAGUAGAAGAGCAAUCUUAAGGCUUUAUUUUAAAUUGUGUUCCAGAUGCCUCUCCAUGGCAUAUAUCACACUUUCCUUCACACUUGAAGGGAAAAAUGCUUAAGAGUUCACCACAUUUGGGUGUUAUUUACCAUAAGGUUUUGUUCUUCUAUAAGAAGUAUCUCUCUGGGCCGGGGAUUUAGCUCAACGGCAUAGUGCCCGCCUGGCAAGCGCGAGGUCCUAAGAUCCCUGGUACCAAAAAAAGUAUCUCUCUGGAUUCAACUACAGAAAUAGCAGUAAGUGUUUUAUCCAUUGUACAGUUUUCACCUACAAAUUAAAAUCUGACAUGAUGCAUUGAUAGUUUAAGAUCAUUUUUCAGUUUUAUGUACUUGUAGUUGAUUCCAAAUGUUUGGCAGCAGUGAUUACAAGCCUUGAAGUGUUCUAUGAAAACAUUCACGCUGGAACCAUAAAAUUAAUUUCUGUGAGUCUUUUUAAAAGUCUGUUGUUAACUUUUGAUUUCAAGAGCUACCUUCUUCUUGUUCUUGUUCUUCUGGCCAGUGACCUUUUUCCUGUGAAAAGGAAAUAAAAAGUUGAAUCAGAUAUUCUCUACUUACUUUUCUUAUAAUUCUGAGGGUUUAAUAAACACGUAAUGAAACCUACUGUAUAUCAAAGUAUAUGUGGCACUAAGAACACAAAGGUGCAUUAAACCUAGUCUUUGCCCUUUAGAAAAUCACUGUCACCUAAGUCAGACAGUGACAUCACAAUAAACCACACUACUACAAAGUAUGAAAGAUAGAUUCUGAUUC
ensembl:lncRNA